ensembl:lncRNA
UUGUCCUGACGGUCAUAGGGAUCUUUGGAGCCUCUGAUUCCUUGAGACCCAGGAAGCAUGUCUCACCACCAGCAUCCGCAUCCACAUCAGCAUCAGCAUCAGCAUCAGCAUCACCAUCAGUGCAAGGAGCCCUGCCAUCCACCUCCAAAAGUGUGCCCACCCAAGUGCCAUGAGCCUUGCCCACCUCAUCCAUGCCCACCUCCACUGAGACAGAAGAAAUGCCCUCCUGGGCCACCAUGUCCACCAUGUGAGCAGAAGUGUCCACCCAAGUGGAAGUAACAGCACUGGAUUUCAUCUGGACCAAGAAACAAGAUCCAGGCUUUUCCAUUUCCUCCCUUCAGCCAUGGUGACAGACUGCAUCUUCCUUAAUCUCCCUCCUCAAUCGACAGCAGACAGAGGAAAGGCUUGCUGCCUGAAGCUGACACCACGUUGUUGGAAGAAGAGCAGCAGGAUCAUCGCUUGUACUCUCUGUGCCAUGUGCCUGUCUCUGACACCACGUUGUUGGAAGAAGAGCAGCAGGAUCAUCGCUUGUACUCUCUGUGCCAUGUGCCUGUCUGUAUCCACGUUGUGAUCCCUACCCCAUGAGCAAUUAGUGGGUCUAUUCCUUUGCUUCUCCAAUAAAGCAUAUUCAUAGAUCAUUAUGUAUUUUUCUUUCUUUCUUUCUUCUUUUUUUUUUUUUUGCAAAUAGUGUAUUUCCUCUCUUCUGUCAGCUACAACUAUUCUUCUGAGUGUUCCUUUUCCUUCCCUUUGGAUUAUCAGAAUUAGACUUUUCCAUCAUUGAGUUCAGCUUUGUCUGAAAUAUGUCUUUUGCACUGGAUCCAUCAAAGAAUUCCUUCAUUGGCUUCUGAUUUGUUUCUAUCUUUGUCUACCUUGAAGACCCUG